AUAAACAUACUUGUCUCAAACAGAAUGUUCUUUUUAGCUUUGUAAUAAACAAGUUAGAAAUCAUUAUUUAUCUCUGUGUACAUGACCUGUAGCAUACAAACAAAACGUGAUAUGAUGGAUCCAUUUGUUAAAGAUACUUACAUUUGUCUGUUAACUCUGGGCAUUAAAGUUUAAUGAGACCUGUUUAUAUUAUAAAACAUUUUCUUCAUAUCACACUUGCUUUGAGAUCUUGUUUAAUUUUAUUGGUGAUAUACUACACACA